rnacentral:tRNA from 1 species
UACGGGUUCGUCUAAUGGCAGGACAAUAGAUUCUGGAUCUAUUAAUCGGGGUUCGACCCCCUGACCCGUAG